UACGUAGGGGGGCAAGCGUUGUCCGGAUUUAUUGGGCGUAAAGAGCUCGUAGGCGGUUCGAUAAGUCGGACGUGAAAUCUCCACGCUCAACGUGGAGGGGCCGUUCGAUACUGUCGUGACUCGAGUCCGGUAGGGGAGUGUGGAAUUCCCGGUGUAGCGGUGAAAUGCGCAGAGAUCGGGAGGAACACCCGUAGCGAAGGCGGCACUCUGGGCCGGUACUGACGCUGAGGAGCGAAAGCGUGGGGAGCAAACAGG
rnacentral:rRNA from 1 species